rnacentral:misc_RNA from 1 species
UUAACUAUUAUAUAGUACUCAGACGACACUAAUAAACAAGAGUUUGUGGUCCUCUGGCGAGCGCACACCAGCAGACGCCGGUGGCCGAAGCGGCUCGCCAAAGCAACAAAGGUUUAAUAACAUAGGGUUGGAGAGUCACCCGUGAGGGCGAUGUUCUCUGUAAUGAUCCCUCCGCAGGUUCACCUACGGAGA